rnacentral:rRNA from 1 species
AGGGUUCGAUUCUGGCUCAGGAUGAACGCUGGCGGCGUGCCUAAUACAUGCAAGUCGAACGCAUCACUUCGGUGAUGAGUGGCGAACGGGUGAGUAAUACAUAAGUAACCUAGCCUCUGGAGGGGGAUAACUAUUGGAAACGAUAGCUAAGACCGCAUAGGCAUAGGCAUCGCAUGAUGAAUAUGUUAAAUAUCCCACGGGAUAGCGAGAGGAUGGACUUAUGGCGCAUUAGCUGGUUGGUGAGGUAGAGGCUCACCAAGGCGACGAUGCGUAGCCGACCUGAGAGGGUGGACGGCCACACUGGGACUGAGACACGGCCCAG